rnacentral:rRNA from 1 species
GAUGAACGCUGGCGGCGUGCUUAACACAUGCAAGUCGAACGGAAAGGCCCAAGCUUGCUUGGGUACUCGAGUGGCGAACGGGUGAGUAACACGUGGGGGAUCUGCCCUUCACUUCGGGAUAAGCCUGGGAAACUGGGUCUAAUACCGGAGAGGACCACAUUUUGGAUGGGGUGGUGGAAAGUUUUUCGGUGUGGGAUGAGCUCGCGGCCUAUCAGCUUGUUGGUGGGGUAAUGGCCUACCAAGGCGUCUACGGGUAGCCGGCCUGAGAGGGUGUACGGCCACCUUGGGCCUGCGAUACGGACCAGACUCCUACGGGAGGCAGCAGUGGGGAAUAUUGCACAAUGGGCGCAAGCCUGAUGCAGCGACGCCGCGUGGGGGAUGCCGGCCUUCGGGUUGUAAACUCCUUUCGCUAGGGACGAAGCGUUAUGUGACGGUACCUGGAGAAGAAGCACCGGCUAACUACGU